UCCUCUUGCUGUUCUAGCUUCUGGCUUAGCUGCGCGAAGCCUCCUCAGGGCAGCGGGAACCUUCAUCCCACUGCCCUGAGGAGGCUUCGCGCGGUUAUCCCAGAAGCCAGAACAGCGAGAGG